GCAGAAGAGUUGUUUGGGUGUUUAGACAGCUAAAAUUAUCUAUGAAAUGACUGGUCAGUUCUUAUCUCCCUUCUCUGUUGUAAGCCACAGAAGCCCACUUCAGUUAUCUUCAUAUUCCCUUUGUGUACCUAGUACAAGGAGUUAAAAGUUUUGUUGAAUGGAAUGAAUGGAGAAAGAAAAUCAAAUGAACAUUUUCUGAAAAUACUGAGGCAAGGAUAUUAGCAACAUACUGUAUUUCUGGUGUAUGCUAAAGUCCCCAGGAGUAGUAAUUCCCUUACUGAUCUCAUCAUUACAAACCAGAGGAACAGCAUGGAAUAAUGAAGAGCUCAGAGUCUGAAACGAAACUAUAUAGGUUCAAAAUUGGGCAUUAAGAAACUGAAUGACUAGCAACUUAAGCAGUUUACUUUAUUUCUAUGCCUCAUUUCCUAAUCUACAAAAUGUGAGAGGGAUCACAAAUCCUAUCUCAUAGGGUUAUGAAAAUUUUAAAGGGCUUAGAAGAGCGCCUGGCACUUAAUAUAUUAGGUAUGUAUUUGCUAAAACAACAAAAAUGUUCACUGCUACAAAAUGGUUAGAAAAAAUGGGGCAAUUUAGAAACUGAAAAUUAACCUUACACUCUGAGAUGAUAUGUGUAAAAUUGUUUCAGCAUCUAGGAAAGCUAGCUCUUUAAAAUUAUCAAGUAUCUACAGAAGCAUUCUUUAUGUCACUGUUUUAAAACAGCCAUCCACAAUAAUUCUACUACUACAGUAUGAAAUGCUAAAGUCAAAAAAAAUGUCAAGGACAAACUUCCCUUGUAGGAGAAUGAGCCUAGAAAACCGAUAAUGGUUUUUCUUGACUCUUAACUGAAUCAAUCUUAAGAGAAUAUAUUUAAAUUAAGAACAAGGUCUAGUUGGUUUCUUUUGGGCAUUUUUAGGUUUUUAAGAUCCUAAGUUGUAUCUCCACAGGUUUGUUUGAUUUGAUGCUAUAUUUUUUUCCUCCUUGGUUAGAAAAAAUAAAUUUCAGUGUUAAAAUUUAUUGUGAAUAUUCUAGUAAAAUUUAGAACAAAAGAUUUUUCCUUUGAGACAUACACUAUGAGGCAAAGUCAUACAACAAAUUAGUAACUAUUUCAGUCUUUAGUAAAGUGUUAAAUUAUCAUACCCAAAAGCUAUUUCAGAAAAUUAAAUAGGAAUAGAGAUGCAGAAGGGAGGAAAAAACCACUUCACAUUUGAAAAUGAAAUAGAACUUAUUAGAAUGCAUUUUAAUGGUUCUGUAUGUAUAGUUUCAAUAUAAAAGUACACAAUUACUCACGAGUUCCAGACUUUUCACAUAAGCAUUAGAAAAAAUUAACUUGACACUGAAUUAAAAGUUUUUAGAGUUUCCAAAAUUUCAUUUAUACCAUCUUCUUCCCUAAUGAUGUUACUCUAUCUUUAAUAUACAGGUUCUACUUACCAUUUCUACAUAUUUUCCAUUCAAACAUUGUUCAUUAAAUUUAAAAAGCACAUACAGAAACAACUGGCUGUAAAGAUAACCCUACAAAAUUCCUUUGGACCUUUAGCUAUAUAAAAUGUCAUCAAUAAUAUUUUUCACCAACAAAAAAUCAGGCUGAGAUACAUUUUGGCAGCAGAGGGAUUUUACUUGUUCCAUAUCUGUGUCUAAAGACUAUCUUGCUAUGAGCCAGGGUAGUAUUUUUCCUCUUUCCUUUUUUCUCUGCAGCACUUCUAAGUAUAGUGACAGCCGCAUCAGACUUUUCUAGUCUCAGCGCAAGCUCAGUGAAAAUCUGGGAAAUGUAAGUGGGAACAUGAGAGACCGCUUUAUUUGGCAGUGCUUUUAAAAAAAAAAAAAAAGGGCAGGACAAACGGCAAAGCAGUGUUUGGACCACAGGAUGAACAAUCAAUAGGCAGAAAGCAAGAGAGAGCUUCCUCAGCUUUUGGAUCGACAAUCGACAGCUGAGAGACUAUUUUUUGCUAUGGUUGACUAAAUAUGGUCAGGGAAGAGAGAGGCACAAGAGAGCCUGUUUGCCUGGGAGUGCAUGUUUCAAAUGCUUAGCUGCCUAUAAAGCUGUAACAGUUUAGCCUGUGGCCACUGAGGGAAGAAUCUAAAUUAACCUCUGUAGUGACCAUGUGGAAGUUCUGACCUUGCUUGCAGACUUGACCUCUGGAUAUGACAAGGUAGCUUCAAUACAAAUCUACCAUUUAAUCCUGGAAACUAAAAACCAAAAAAACCUCACAGCAAGAAAGAUACAGAAUGUUUCCUGAGAAGUCAGAAGAACCAGUGUACUCUGGUGGCAAAGGAAAAUAGGGUGAAUGUCUACAGUUACUUUGGGGGAAUGAGGUGAGGUUCUGUGCAAUGAUACUUCCCCUUACUUCACCUGGCUCAGGAAAAGUGCUGAAUCAGCGAAUAGAGUGAAGGAACAAUCAAGAUGAGAUGGCUGCUGCUGAUGUGACUCUCUAGGUCAUUAUGUCUCCUCCUGCUGCAGAAGCUGCAUGGCACUAAGCUUACAAGGAUACAGAAGCAAACUACAAAAUAUAAAGAAAUUCACUCUGAAGACUAUGAAGAAAUACUUGGCUAUCUUACCAAUUCCUGAAAUACACCCUGUAAAACUCCAUUGACUGUAUGAAUCUCUUGCAAAAACAACCACCAAACCAGGACAAAGUUCAACAUAACUUGGUUAGUGUUUAGAGGUGCCUAUGUCCACCAGGAACAAGGAACCAUAAAUGGCACUUACACCAUGCUUCAGGUAAAUUUGUUAUACAGUUUAGUCUUUGAUGGUCUUUGCAUAUGAUCUACCAAUGCUCUACAUCGGUGAGCUGAAUGUUUUACUAACAAAUUGGAAAAUAAAAUAUUUCAUCUUUUUACAGCUAACAACUUAGUAACACCUACUCAGAGUACAUACUUCUUUAUGUACCCAUAUGAACAUGCAAUGCUAUGGAAUGUAAAGAAGUAUGUAUUUUUGGUAGGCAAUAAACUGCCAAGAGGGAACUAAACCUCAGCUAACAGAAGGUAAAUUAACCUAGUAUCAAAGAGAUGGCCUUUGGCAAUACUAACACCAUAAAAAUGUACCUACUACUUAUUGAUGGAAACUGAAUGUCACUAAGAUUUAUAUCUUGUGAAGAAAAAGUUAUAUUGCAAUAGAUUUAAAAUGAUAAAACUUUUAAAUAUUUUAAUUGCAAAAUAUGCUACAUUUUACAUUUUUUAAGUACCCACAUGAUUAAAAUUUCAAUACAAGAGAAAAAAACAGUAUUACUGGCACAAAAGAAUAAGGAAUACAAAUGACCUAUUUUCUGUCUCCACAACCCGAUCUUAGUCACAUUUGUAGGGUCAACUGAUUUGUUAAGAAAUAGAAGAUAUAACAAAAGUUGGGUUCAUUUACAUUUUAACAGGAUUCUUCAUAGUUUAAUAAAUUUAUCGUGUACUAUUACAGGAAUUUCUGAAGCAAGUUUUGCUGCUUUAGAUUUCUUUUUUGAAAGUUACAUAGAAUUCUAACAGGCUAUCUUUUAAGUAAUAUUCUAUCCUCAAAAAAAAGAAGUCCCUGUCAAGUUUAUCAGGUCCUUAACCCAGUCUCCACUUUAAAUGUCAUGCUAGUACUUGGAAUAAAUUAAAACAUAAGAUUUAUGGAUGAAAAAUGAUAAUUCUGAGCCACAGUUCUAAGUCUGAUAACAGACUGAUAUUUAAAAGAAAUUAAUGUAUUAUCUAUAUUCCCUGAAUUUGCUUUUUGCCAAGGAGACACAUAAAAUGAAAACACUAUUGUCAAGAAACCAAUUUACACAGAUAAAAUAACCAUCUUUUAUUGGUACUAUGCAAUUACAAUUUAACUUUUAUAAACACUAGAACCACAAUUUUUAGUACGUUAGAUAUAAAAAUAUCACUGGGUUUUACAGAAAAUUUAUUCUAUACAAUACAUACUUAUAGAUUAAUAAAUUGUAAAUAAUAAAGCUCUUAGCAAUACUUUAUUAGCAGUACUGUUUUAAGCUACUAUGAAAGACUUAGGAAAAAAGAAAUACUAACACUAAAUUCAUAUAUUCUAAUAUUCAUAAUUCUAAAAUGAUUAGAAUUAUUAUUAUUUAGACAUAGUAUUUAUACUAGAAACAUGCAUUUCAAUGGAAUAUUUAAACAUGUAUGAAAAGUAUAAUAAUAAUUUUAAAUUUUUUCUAUGUCACAAGUUGAACAGAAAUGGCUAUAAGGUUAACUGUAAUUUUCUCUGUGUUUAAUAAGACAACUAAAUAGUUGUCAAAAGAUAGUUUUCACUGCAUCAGAUUAAAUGAGAAUGACUCUGUUAGAUACAGUAGCACAUAAGUUAUUGCAGGUUUACUAGAAAUUAUGAAAAGCUCAUGAUUUUUACAAAUUCUACAUUUUCAAAGAAUUAGUUCAAAGCCUAACUCACUUAAGCAUAGACCUUCUUUCUGAUCAUCCACAAACAGAAUGGUAAUGCUUCAUAUUGAAUUUGUUAAAUUUGUUAACUCUACAUGCCCUAAAAUACCAACAACUGAAAGUAUGUAUCAUAAAAAGGUUCCUCUAUAAAACUACUCAAAUAGUACUAUAUUGUUUUAAUAACAAUCAUAUUUAUUAUUCUAUAGGAAUAAAACUUUUUAAUAAUUAUUUUAAAACAUCCCAGUGACUAAGAAUCGUAUUGCUCUAAUAUUAAGGAUAUAUACUCCUUAGAAAAUAAAAUGAGUGCAUCUGUUUGUCAUUUUAAAAGGAAAAUUAUAUACUGUUCCUAGAGCUUACAGGUUUAACUUAACAUAUCUAGCACUAUUUUCAAUCACUCUAAAAUGUCACAUUCAUCACUUAGAUCAGCUGUUCAUUUUUAACUGAGUACAUAUUAAAUUCUGGGCAUCUGCUGACACUGGUGUAACUCAAACAUUUCAACUGUCUCUCUGACAGGGAUAACAGAUGCUGACAUUAUCAAAUGCUGUACUAUUUUUUUUCCAUGGCCUCUUCUUGCCCCGAUAUGGCCAGUAUAUGAAACUGAACUGCCAUCCAAAAGCACACUUGAGCAACUGGACCUGCUACACAGCUCCCAUAUAACUAGUAAAAAUAGAAGCCAGUUUUAUUGCUAUCUUCAGUACUUAAGUCCAGGCAAUUUAACACCUGUUUCAUUUCUAUUAAAAUAAAUGAUGGAAAGAACUGUAGUUACAUUAAUUUCGCCAGUAGCAGCAUGAUACUUAUCAAGCAACAGAUGCAGAAUAUACUUAAUAUGAGAAUCGUUAGACUAUUGCCUGAAUUAGUGUUGACCUUCUCCCAGCAUAAUUCAAAACGGUAACUAUUUCUUUACUCUUUAUAUUUCACUGAGAGCAUUUACCUUAUAGGCAAACUGUAAUUCCUCAAACUUUUACUUAUGCAAGUAUAUUACAGAAAACAUCUUUUCCCUGAUGUUGAAAUGCAAUACUGAAAUCACAUUAUAACAAAAAUUUGCUGUACUGAGUUUUAAAGUUUUACUCACAUGGUACACUUUAAUACACUCAUAAACUGUAGCCAAUCACCACAAGUUAAUGUAUUAUUAAACUGAUAAUGAGAAGUAGCCAAUCUGUACCCAAAAUGACAGACUUCUGUCAAGUAAAUAGAGCUUUAAAAGGGUUAAGUUACUAACCUAUGAUUAGUAACACAACAUAAGCAAAAACAAAGAAAAAUGAGCUGGCAUACAUGGUGGUUCCUUUCAACACAAGUCCAGGCAAUACACUGAAUACACAUAUGAUCUAUUUAUAAACCACAGGGCAGAGGUAUUUUCCUUAAGGCUACUCAUUCCUCUACCUCAGUCAGCAACUUGCCAUUAGUCCCUCAAGUAUAAUACUAAAAAAAGCAGCGGUGGUAGAAAGGUCUGACUAGCAGUACUAUUCCCUAACUUAUUAGCUUAUUUUCCUUGGUUUACUGCCUAGAGAUAAAUAGAAAAGAUUAUUACUCUGAAAUAAAUCAAGGUCUAUUUGUUCCUUUAAAUGCUGUUGGCUUUGAAACAGGCUACUUGUCUACAUUUAAGAAUUAAGCAGAGGUGUUAAAAACAAAGACGUACGUUGAUAAUCCUUUAAUGCAUUAACGACAUUUUAAAGGGUAAAGAUUCCUGCACUAUUGGAGCAGGUAAUAGUAGGAAAAGCACCUUGAAUAUAGAAAAUUUUACAUUCAGCGACUGAAGUACUGAUAUGAGAGUCUCUAACAUUUGUAGAAGGCCCAUAAUUUUACAAAUACAGAGCAUUUUAACUGUUUUGGAUCCCCAACCAGCCGCACUACAAUGCUUUGCUAAAGCUGGUAAAAUGGAACCAAAUCGCCUCUUCAAUGGAUUUGGUCCCCUUCAACCAGCUGUAGCUAUGCAUUGAUUACGACGGGACAGUCAACGUUUCAGUUGAUAUCAAUCACGUGUCAACUACUUUCAGAUUAUUUAAGUUACUCAGCUUGUGGUUGAAAUAAUUUGUUACUCUUAAUUCUACUUGCAAGAGCCAUAGCGUUUAACAAUGUUCAUAAAAAAAGCUUUAUGAAAAAUGUGUGGAUAACUUAAGGAUUUCAAAUAAAAUAAUUUUACUUA